rnacentral:rRNA from 1 species
ACGGGCGAUAGUGUCAACUUCACGGCGACGGCAUCCAACCGCUUCUCGGCCAUAAAACCGGAGAGCUUAGGCUUAGCGAUAAGGAUCUCACUAACAACUGGCUGAAAAAAUUCGAGCCGGUUCUCCCAGCAAAUCCGCCAAAAAAGAUCACCAUUUCUUCGGCGCGGAUCACCCCAUCCAUUCUCCAUCCGGCAGCUAGCGCCGGUAAGCUCCGCUGAUCGACCCCUCUUCUUCCGUUCAUCAUUUCGCGGUGAUCGGAUAUUCUGAUCUCGGUGGUGAAUCCCAACGUUGUUUCAGCGUCACUCUUGAAAAUCCAAGGGGAUGGAGGUCAUCCGCGGGCCGAUUCUGCCGCGCUGCGCUGCGCCUGCUCUCACCUCCCGCUCUCGGAUCGGCGGCCAGCUGCUGAGGCGCGUGCGCAUGCGGAGGAGGGCUUGCGGUGGUGUCUCGCCAGGUGACGGCUACGACGGCGUGUCGCGCAGGUUCUUCGGUGCCCCGACCCAGCAGCACAUGCACAGCACAAGCGCCUGGCCUGUUCGCUGCAGCUACGGCUCGUCAUCUGACGGGGACGGCGCCCCGCCGGCGAAUUUCGACGCCAGCGGCGAGGAGUUCGUCGACUCCAGCGUCAUGGAGGCUGUUGAGCUCAGAUGCGUGUCAGAUGGUUUUGUGAUAAGAAUGCGCGACGGAAGAAACCUUAGAUGUGUCCAGAAUAAUCCCCGCGUGCUAAGACUGCGCGAUUCUACGCCUCACCAUGCUAUCGUGCUCAAGAUGGAAGAUGGAAGCGAUCUUCUGCUCCCCAUUAUUGUCAUGGAGACACCAAGUAUUAUGCUACUGGCCGCCCUUCGGAACAUUCGAAUUCCAAGGCCAACAAUUUAUAAUGUGGUAAAGGAGAUGACCGAAAUGAUGGGAUAUACGGUACGUUUGGUGCGGAUUACAGAAAUGGUGCAUGAUGCUUACUAUUCUAGAUUGUAUCUUGCGAAGAUUGGAAAUGAAGAAGAGACUAUUAGUUUUGAUCUCAAGCCAUCAGAUGCCAUCAACAUUGCUUUCCGGUGCAAGGUUCCUAUACAAGUCAAUAAGCGCAUUGCAUACAACAACGGUCUGAAAGUUAUACAACCAAAGCCAACUGGGAGUUACGUGAACUCUGACCAAAUCCAGUACACAAGACUGGACAAGCCUGGUGACCAGCCUUGCUUUGAAGCCCAGGAAUUCGAUUUGGUCCGCGGCAUGCUUAUUGCUGCUGUCGAGGAGCGCUAUAAAGAUGCUGCUCAAUACAGAGAUCGCCUUCUCAUGUUCCGGGCAAACAAAAAGAACACAAUAUAACAGAGCCUGAUGGGGGUGUACAUAGUGACCUUUGCCAAGGAAAUAGAAGCUCUAGCAAACAUAAAGAAGUACGAUGUGAAUAUGUACAUAGCUAAUGACUGUAACUUUUAAUAUUUUCCUUUUUUGAAGACGGGUUGUACAGAAAGCUGCAAAAUAUAGUCAAACAUCGAUCGAAUUACUUAC